rnacentral:lncRNA from 1 species
CCUGUAUCCCGCUUACACUAUGUACGUAAGCAUUCUCAUUUUUUUGUCAUCCUGGGUCCCGCUAGACCUCAUUUCCUGUUUUCACGACACAAUAAUUUGACUUUCACAUGUCACGCUUACAAAACAUCGGCAAUCCCGUGUCACACUUAGACCCCAAUGAGAUCCACUUUAGAGCCUCUUGUUCCCUUUUCUGCCUGUUAUAUUGAAAGUUAUAAAAGAUAGAUCGACACUUUAGAAAACACAACAGUGCACACAAACUGAAAUGAUUCGACCUGCUUUGCCACAAGUAUAAUAUAAACUUAAAUGUUUAAAGAGUAAUUGAAAAACAGACCAAAACAUAAAAACUAACAUGGACCAAGGAACCAUGAAAAUGACAUCAAGGUCAGAUGAGACCCUUUAGACUUGCAUGUACAUCAUACAAUCAAUCUUAACACCAAGUACCUUUUACAUAUUGUACUUGAAAAGCACACCAAAAAAAAUAAAUUAAACCAAUGAACUAUGAAAAUCAGGUCAUGGUCAGAUGAAACCUGCCAGACUGACAAAAAUUCCAUUCACCACAAAACCUAAUUAUAGCAUUUUAGAAAUGACCUGGUCUAGUAAAUUUUAAACUUGAUCACUGAUCCAUGAAAUGAUGUUAAAGUCAGGCAAACUCUGUAGGAAGG